UAUGCUUUAUUCCCCUUUUUUGAUACUAUAGGGGAAUACGAGUCCAGUGAUGCCACUGAAGACGAGCAAACCAGCGCCCCAGUUAGGUCAGUGAGGGAGAUGGCGGCUUCCCUUGCCCGCAGUUCAGUUGGGGAGGAAGCAGGAGGCAAGAAAAAGUCCUCUUCUCUUCCUCGGAACACACCCCAAGCUGCCAACAGUGGUGUGGCUCCCGAGCUGCUGGUAAUCCUCGACAAGAGACGCUCAACCAUCACAAACAACCAGCUUGAGGAGCUGGAGGAGACAUGGGUGGACGGUGAGCAGAGCACAGGAUCAAGCGCAGCCCCUCCCCUGCAUCGGCAGACAUCACACAAGCAUGUCCUCACCACUGAUCUAGCACUUGAAGAUGUUGUUAAUGUUUGAUUGUCAGAAUUGUUAUUUUGAUGAAGGAUUUUUUUCCAUGUAACAUUGUUUCAUAUUUUUCCCAUUCCAUCAUAGAUGGAACUACAUUUGUUGCUGAGGCAUAAUAAUGGUAAUGUUCAUUAUGACAAGUGAUGAAAAAAUUUAAUGUUAUGUCAUUGUGUGACUGGCCAUACAGUUUCCUUUUCCAGUGAAGUAAGUGUAACUUGCUGUAUUUUCCUAUUAACGGAUAAACAGCUUUCUUCAUGAUUGUAAUUCAUAAGGCUAUGAAGGGAAUUUUAUUUAUUGAAUUUUACUUUGGUUUAUAUAGUUGUAUGUAGUCUGUGUGGAUAGAAAGACUGCAGAAUCUACACAGCCACAGAGACAUCUGAUGCCAUGAUGCGAUGUUGGUAGGAUUGUUAUGGUGGGACAGCAGACAUGUGAGAAAAUCAAAUGCAUUAACAUCACGCUUGCUCUUCUGCAAAGAUCAUGAUAGAGGCAUUAUGAUUGGACUUUUUGGGAGAUUAAUAUACAGCUCAAAUUGUUCAUACAUUUGCAUUUAAAGCCACAUUUUCUCAAGUCUUCUAACAGGCUUUCACUAUUAAGGAUAAUCCUUAUAUGUCUGUAUAAAUGUCAAUAUAGAUAAUGUAUAGUCAAAGAUAUAGGUCACUGCCAGCAUUGGUUAUUCAAAAGGUCAUUCUUGAUGUACAUAAUAGCAGCACAAAAUUUCUUGUAGAUGAGGAAUUGCAUUUAUAAAUCAUUAUUUGUAUGUAGGUUUCCCAUCUUCCAAAGCACGGGACACGUUUCAUUCACAAUUUGUUGGUCAGUAUGUAGAUUAUAGCUACUUCAAUUUUUUAAACCUUGAGAUUUUUGCUAGAAUUGUGAGGCAAUUUUCAGAUAAACAUUGGAUGAAAAUAGUUACAAAUAAAACAAAAAAUACAGAAAUGAGGUAUUACAAACUGAUGUAUUUUCUCUUUCUAUGAAAUUCCCAAGAAAUUCUUAUCAGAAAUUUUGAUCAUUAAGUAGAGGAAUUCAAAGUCCUUUUAAGGAAUUUCUUGAGUCUUGACCUAAAGUUCUCAAAAGUGACUGUUUGGACUGCAAUUGAUCUUUUAUUAAUGAGCUUUUAACCAUGUUAAGUUUUUAAUUUUAUGGCAUUUGUUUUCUUUACAAAUGCAAGUACUUGUUCGUGUAUUAUGACCGAAUUGCAUGUAAUGUAGAAUUUUAUCAUUGUUUUUUUACUGUAAAUGGAUUUGAAAAAUACUUUCGAAAAUUUUCCAUAUAAAGAGUUGCCAGGACAAAAAUGAACUUGUCAGUAGCUUUGUUGAAAUAUGCAUUUUUGUGCAUUGCAUUUUAUGUUUACAAGCAGUUUGUGAUGGUUAUUAUGAAUAAAGCAUCCUUAUAUAGAUGACAUGUUGAUAGUUAGGUCAGUAAUACAAUUUGAUUCAUAGUCAGGAUAGAUUAUUAGGUGAUGAUAUUUAAAUGUAAUUAAGUGUUUCCUUUUUUUUUCUUUUUUUACAAAGAGAAAGUAUUAAGUGCAAUCUGUUUUAUGUCUGCAAUUUAUAAAGGAUUUACUAUCAGUACGUGGCUUGCUGGUCACAUUGUUUGUAAUGCUUUGCCUCAAUCUACUGAACGUUGAAAGUGGACAGUGUACUGUGUGGAGCCUGUUAUUAACAGGCGUGAUAUAAAUAUUGUUACUAAAGUAAGAGUUGUAUGCUUGCUCUGUCAGAAAUGCAUUACAGCUUAUGUACAGCUUGUUUUGUUAAGAAAAAAAAAGAAAAAAAAAGGUCUGUCAGAAGAGCUUUGUGCCAAGAAAGAUUGCGAGAGAAAUUUAUACUCCUCAUUAAAGAGCUGCGGAUGUCUUUUUAUGUCUUGACGUGUUAUGAUUGUGAUUUUCUGCGCUGAUUUUGAGGGUUCCUGAUAAGUGGAUGAUGAUAAUGAUGAUGUGGUGUAUCUGUGAUGAAUUUUGCUUGUGGUGUGACUUUAUUUGGUAAUUUGAUUUUGACAGGCAGUUUUCGUUUGUUAGGGGGGCAAGAAAAAACAAAAAACUAUAUAUUUGCAUUAGCUGUGGAAACUUUCCUUCCGUCUUCUCCUAGGUUUUGGAGAAUAUACCAUGUGAGGACAACUGUGGAUUUUCAAGGUGGUCAUUUGAUAGAGAAAUGUGUUGGAGGCUAUUGAUGAAGAGAAACUUGUUUUCUUUUUUCUUGCAUAGUUUUUGUUUAUAUGGUAAGGUGUGAAUGUUUUCUUUUUUCCAUUUUUUCCAAGUUAGUAAAAUCAUUUGUGAUCUUGCAUUUUUUGCAAACAGUGUAUGUGGAGAAUUUUAUGGCUCUUGUAACAAUUCUUUUAAUUAAUGAUCAUAGUUUUACAGAUUUUUUCUUCAGUUCAAAAAUUUAAUAUUUAGAUGGAGCCCCUUUUUGCAGUUGAAUUUCUAGAGAAGAAAACUUUUAGAUAACAAGGAGUGGAGAGUUUUCAGGCUUUAAAUAAGGCAGUACAAAAAGGCCAGUGGCAAAUGUUUGUUUCACAGUGCUCACAGGAGACAAUACACUUUUGAAAAUCAAAAAAAUAAAAAUAAAAAAUAUAAAAAAAUAUAUAUAGAUAAUUACAAAAAAAAAAGUAAUAAAAAAAUAAUAAAACUGACAUUUGUAUAGACUGUAGAUAAUAGUUGAUGAGAAGAAAAAUUCUAAGCUUUGGUACCUUCCUCAAAAACCACCCCUAGUAUUCCUUGCAGAGUCCACCGCACCUCAUGCCCCUCGGAGACCCUCAUAGCGUGCAGCUACUGUACCAUUGUUUGAUCCUUGAUGUUACUGUGUAUGUUUUUUCACACCUUCACCUGCAUCGAGUAGCAGCAGAUUUAUAUACAUUCAUCCUCACUUCAUAAUUCUAUAUAUAUAUAUGGUAAUGAUAAUUUGAUGAAGGUACAGUAUUCUAGCAGGUAUCUUUGUGAAUUACUUUACUGUACACUACACACUCAAGUGUAAUUUUCUUAAAUCUGUUAUUGGCUUUUAAAACGUUUACAUCAAACAGGACACAAGAACUGUAGUGAAGUUUUUUCACCCAUUUUGACAAUUAUUGUUUGAUGUUUAGGCAUAAAAUAAACAUUGUACAGUCUAAUACCAGUCUUACAAGUCUCUUGUUAGUCAUUAAUUGAUUUAUUUUCAUUUUAAAAUCCAGCAUAAUGUCAGAGAAAUUGUUGUAGUAACUUAAAUCUUCUUAAGUAUGGCUCAAAUGUUGUGAUUGUGAGGUGCAGAACAGGCAAGGGACGAAAGAAAAAUAUAGUCUGAACUAUACAUUUUAUAUGUAUAUUACUUAACUCCUGUUGAUUGACACACAAGUGUAAUCAUUUUGCUGCAUCACACUAUUGAAGCUUAAUUCAAAUCAAUACCUUUCGUUAUCCUCAUCUGCCUGCAUUGCGAGAGACAGUGUGCGUGCCAUGAUUAGCUAGCAAUCUGAUUGUGGUCAUUGUGAGUUGUGAUAGUAUCAAAGUGCUCCCAUGUGUCUUGUGACUUUUUUGUUUUUAUGUUCAUUUUUAAAAGAAAUUUUAGUUGCUUUCUAUGAUAUGACUGGAGAGCCUAUUAUAUGACCACAGGUUUUGUUGCAUUAAGCAAUGUUUUACCCUUGCAAUGUAAAUAAUUAAUUGUCAUAUUUUAUAUUUUACAAUUAUUCUACUGCCUUAAUAAAACUUAUUUCCUAUGAA
rnacentral:lncRNA from 1 species